ACGUUCGGAUUGUAGUCUGCAACCCGACUACAUGAAGCUGGAAUCGCUAGUAAUCGCAGGUCAGCAUACUGCGGUGAAUACGUUCCCGGGUCUUGUACACACCGCCCGUCACACCAUGGGAGCCGGAAAUGCCCGAAGCCAGUGACCCAACCUUAGGGAGGGAGCUGUCGAAGGUGGAGCCGGUAACUGGGGUGAAGUCGUAACAAGGUACC
rnacentral:rRNA from 1 species